GACGAACGCUGGCGGCGCGCUUAACACAUGCCAGUCGAACGGAAAGGCCUGCUUUCCCUUGUGGAUUGCGGGUACUCGAGUGGCGAACGGGUGAGUAACACGUGAGUGAUCUGCCCCCAACUUGGGUAUAAGCCUGGGAAACUGGGUCUAAUUCCCGAUAGGACUGCAGGGUGGUGCCUGUGGUGGAAAACGAUUUUCUAGUGGUUGGGGAUGAGCUCGCGGCCUAUCAGCUUGUUGGUGGGGUAAUGGCCUACCAAGGCGGCGACGGGUAGCCGGCCUGAGAGGGUGGACGGCCACAUUGGGACUGAGAUACGGCCCAGACUCCUACGGGAGGCAGCAGUGGGGAAUAUUGCACAAUGGGCGGAAGCCUGAUGCAGCGACGCCGCGUGGGGGAUGACGGCCUUCGGGUGGUAAACUCCUUCCGACCGCGAGGAAGCCACCUGGUUGGAAGGGUGGUGACGGUAGUGGUAGAAGAAGCACCGGCUAACUACGUG
rnacentral:rRNA from 1 species